UACGUAGGGGGCGAGCGUUGUCCGGAAUCAUUGGGCGUAAAGAGCGUGUAGGCGGCUUGGCAAGUCUGACGUGAAAGCCCGCGGCUCAACCGCGGAUUGUCGUUGGAAACUGCCUCGCUAGAGUCCGGAAGAGGAGAGUGGAAUUCCUGGUGUAGCGGUGGAAUGCGCAGAUAUCAGGAGGAACACCAAUAGCGAAGGCAGCUCGCUGGGACGUGACUGACACUAAGGCGCGAAAGCGUGGGGAGCGAACAGG
rnacentral:rRNA from 1 species